AUAAUAACGUUUUGUAACUAACGCCAUUUUGGAAUUGCCAUUCAAGAACUGAGAUUCUUUGAGAAGAAGUGAAGGAAAAUGUCUGGAAUUUUAAGGAACGCUUUUAUGCGGGCAACCCCAGUUAUGAGGAAUAUGAUGCAACCAUCUAGAUCUAUAAAUGCAACUGCUCCAACUAGACCAAAUCAACCAUGGGAAAAUGGUGUAGCUGUGUUGGUGUUCUUUUUCGGAUUUUGCACAAUACCAGCUUAUGUCAUGAUGAAUAUUGAAGAAUACAAAAAGAGAGAUUAAAAUCAAAAUGUUUGCCGAACAGAUGAAAUGCUAGGACAAUUGCUGUAUGUUCAGUGUACAUGAAAAAUAACUUGUAGACUAUAAAUUUUCCAACAACCGAUGUAUCAUCAAAGUGCGCAAGCUUCACCAAAAACUUGCUUCUAUUCUAAUGGAUCAUCUUGUCAAUCAAGUAUACAUUUUUUUAAAAUUCAACCAUCUUAAAUGAAACGUACAUGUGCCAAAACAAGAGUUGUUUUCUGUGCCAUCAGUUUUGUCUGUCAAAACCAGAAUCAUCUUCACUGCAAAAAAUUGAUAUGCUAUUUUUUCCUGCUUGAACUAUUGAGUGAUAUCCAAAAUUAAUUAAAAAAAAUUAACUGUUAGCAGAUAAACUGUUAUAUAUUACGAUUGUUAUGUUGUGAUUGUUAUUUAAUUAUGUAACAAGUAUGUGUAUGAUUUUCACAGAUAAAUGUAGGUUAUAUUUUUGACUCUUAACAUACUAAAUUUCUAAUUAGCAAUUAUUAAUAUUGUGUGGUUUUUGGUAUAAUUAAUCAUGGCAAUAAAAUCAUAGUCCGAUUAAAUUAUUGAAUUAAAUCAGGAUGACAUCAAUAUCACAGGAUAAAUUCAUGUAAUUGAACCACAGGAUUAAGAAAUGAAAUAAAAUCAUAAAUUAUUAAUGAAUUAAAUCAAGGUCAAAUCAAUAUCAUAGGAUUAAGUUAUGUAAUAAAAACCACAGGAUUAGGAAAUCAAAUAAUUGAAUUACUGUAUAUCAUUGAAGUUAAGUAAUAAUCAUAGAAUUAAAUCAGGAUUAAUUGUUGCAGAAAUAAAUUUUUGAAUUGAAUCAUGGGAAUUGAAUUAUAGGCUUAAAUGUUAAUUGCAAUCAUGUUUAAAGAUCUUGCAGAUUAUUAAUCUUGCAGAUUAUUAAUAAGCAAUAAGGAAUACAGAGUUGGGAAUAAAGCAGUUUCUUGGUGUGCUCUGAACAUA